rnacentral:rRNA from 1 species
UGGGGAAUCUUAGACAAUGGGCGCAAGCCUGAUCUAGCCAUGCCGCGUGAGCGAUGAAGGCCUUAGGGUUGUAAAGCUCUUUCAGUGGGGAAGAUAAUGACUGUACCCACAGAAGAAGCCCCGGCUAACUCCGUGCCAGCAGCCGCGGUAAUACGGAGGGGGCUAGCGUUGUUCGGAAUUACUGGGCGUAAAGCGCGCGUAGGCGGACCAGAAAGUAGGGGGUGAAAUCCCGGGGCUCAACCUCGGAACUGCCUUCUAACCUCCUGGUCUUGAGUUCGAGAGAGGUGAGUGGAAUUCCGAGUGUAGAGGUGAAAUUCGUUGAUAUUCGGAGGAACACCAGUGGCGAAGGCGGCACACUGGCUCGAUACUGACGCUGAGGUGCGAAAGCGUGGGGAGCAAACA